rnacentral:misc_RNA from 1 species
UCAAACUUGGUCAUUUAGAGGAAGUAAAAGUCGUAACAAGGUUUCCGUAGGUGAACCUGCGGAAGGAUCAUCAUUAGUUCCAUAAAUACCUUCUUGUGCACUGUUGUUAAUGUUUAGACGCUCAUAUGGUGUCGUUAUAUGGGGGAUUGGUUGACGGUGUCUGUGUGUGUGUGUAUAUACAUACACUACCGUUGCUAUGAACCCGACGCCGCCAUGUGUGUGUUGUUUGUUAUACAUAAACUCUGAUAAUAUAUACAAGUCUGAUAAUAUGCAGUUUAUUGCGUAUAUAUAAUAAUACCAAUACAACUUGCAGCGAUGGAUCUCUAGGCUCUGGCAUCGAUGAAGAACGCAGC